GAUGAACGCUGGCGGCGUGCCUAACACAUGCAAGUCGAACGAAGCACCUUACCUGAUUCUUCGGAUGAAAGUUUGGUGACUGAGUGGCGGACGGGUGAGUAACGCGUGGGUAACCUGCCCUGUACAGGGGGAUAACAGCUGGAAACGGCUGCUAAUACCGCAUAAGCGCACGAGGAGACAUCUCCUUGUGUGAAAAACUCCGGUGGUACAGGAUGGGCCCGCGUCUGAUUAGCUGGUUGGCAGGGUAACGGCCUACCAAGGCAACGAUCAGUAGCCGGUCUGAGAGGAUGAACGGCCACGUUGGAACUGAGACACGGUCCGAACUCCUACGGGAGGCAGCAGUGGGGAAUAUUGCACAAUGGGGGAAACCCUGAUGCAGCAACGCCGCGUGAGUGAAGAAGUAUUUCGGUAUGUAAAGCUCUAUCAGCAGGGAAGAUAAUGACGGUACCUGACUAAGAAGCUCCGGCUAAAUACGUG
rnacentral:rRNA from 1 species